rnacentral:rRNA from 1 species
AUUGAACGCUGGCGGCAGGCCUAACACAUGCAAGUCGAACGAGUGGCGGACGGGUGAGUAAUGUCUGGGAAACUGCCUGAUGGAGGGGGAUAACUACUGGAAACGGUAGCUAAUACCGCAUACCAUCAGAUGUGCCCAGAUGGGAUUAGCUUGUUGGUGGGGUAACGGCUCACCAAGGCGACGAUCCCUAGCUGGUCUGAGAGGAUGACCAGCCACACUGGACAGGCGACACGGUCCAGACUCCGACGCGCGGCAGCAGUGGGGAAGUUUGCACAGUGGGCGCAAGCCUGAUGCAGCAAUGCCGCGUGUAUGAAGAGGGCCUUCGGGUUGUAGAGUACUUUCAGCGGGGAGGCGUUACCCGCAGAAGAAGCACCGGCUAACUCCGUGCCAGCCGCCGCGGUAAUUC